GUUUUAAUAGUUUAAAUAAAACAUUGGUCUUGUAAAUCAAAAUUAAGAUUAAUCUUUUAAAACU
rnacentral:tRNA from 1 species